GUUCCCAACUGGCCUGCCGCCCAGCCCCCGAAAUGGUAACUGAGGAACCAGGCUGAAGGAAGAUGGAGUGAGGACCCUGGUGGGGAGGCGGCGCUGGAAGGGUGCAGGGAGCAGCCAAGAGCAGGCGUCGGGACGCAGCAGAGAGAGGAGACCCCAGAGCCAGGAGAAGAGAGAACCCUGACCCCUAACCACACUGCAUCCAGCCAAUAGGAGCACAGCCACCAUGGCGGAGCUGCAGGAGGUGCAGAUCACCGAGGAGAAGCCGCUGUUGCCGGGGCAGACACCCGAGGUGGCCAAGGAGGCUGAGUUAGCUGCCCGAAUCCUCCUGGACCAGGGACAGACUCACUCGGUGGAGACACCUUAUGGCUCUGUCACUUUCACUGUCUAUGGAACCCCCAAACCCAAACGCCCAGCGAUACUCACCUACCAUGAUGUGGGACUCAACUAUAAAUCUUGCUUCCAGCCACUGUUUCAAUUCGGGGAUAUGCAGGAAAUCAUUCAGAACUUCGUGCGGGUUCAUGUGGAUGCCCCUGGAAUGGAAGAGGGGGCUCCUGUGUUCCCUUUGGGAUACCAGUACCCAUCUCUGGACCAGCUUGCGGACAUGAUCCCUUGCAUCCUGCAGUACUUAAAUUUCUCCACAAUAAUUGGAGUUGGUGUUGGAGCUGGAGCCUAUAUCCUGUCACGAUAUGCUCUUACCCACCCGGAUAUGGUCGAGGGUCUUGUCCUCAUCAACAUUGAUCCCAAUGCCAAGGGUUGGAUGGAUUGGGCAGCCCACAAGCUAACAGGUCUUACCUCUUCCAUUCCGGAGAUGAUCCUUGGACAUCUUUUCAGCCAGGAGGAGCUGUCUGGAAAUUCGGAGUUGAUACAAAAGUACAGAAAUAUCAUUACACACGCACCCAACCUGGAAAACAUUGAACUGUACUGGAACAGCUACAACAACCGCCGAGACCUGAACCUUGAGCGUGGAGGUGCUGUGACCCUCAAGUGCCCUGUGAUGCUGGUGGUAGGAGAUCAAGCACCCCAUGAAGAUGCAGUGGUCAGUAGAGAAUUUUGGGGUGGGCGAGGGAGGGUUGGAGUCCUUGGGUGGUGGUCAGAGGGGUAUCUUGCCAAGAGGCAAGCUCUGUUUGGAACUGGGAGAGCAACCAUGGGGCCUAAGAGGCUGAUUCCUGGUAAGAACGAAAUGGGUAUGGGGCUGAUGGGAAAGGAACUGGGAUCUGGGUCCCUGGGGCCCUGGGUCCCUUGGAGGGGAGAGGUCACAGGGAGUAUAAUGUCAUUCAUUCAGCCUCCUGCUUACACCAGGUGGAGUGUAACUCAAAGCUGGACCCCACCCAGACCUCUUUUCUCAAGAUGGCCGACUCUGGAGGUCAGCCCCAGCUGACUCAGCCAGGCAAGCUGACCGAGGCCUUCAAGUACUUCCUGCAAGGCAUGGGCUACAUGGCCUCAUCCUGCAUGACUCGCCUGUCACGAUCGCGCACAGCCUCCCUGACCAGUGCAGCGUCCAUCGAUGGCAACCGGUCCCGCUCUCGCACCCUGUCCCAGAGCAGCGAGUCUGGGACUCUCCCUUCAGGGCCCCCGGGGCAUACCAUGGAGGUCUCCUGUUGAAUGACCUUUGUUGCCCUGGUGUAGGACCCAGCCCUCACCUCCCCCAGCACUAACCUGGGAGGUGCAUAGGGCACUGGGCCAGAGUAAGGGAAGAUGGGCAGAUCAUGUGGGGAGAUGACCUUGAUCUUUGAUUGCUACCCUAACCUUGACCUCUAACCUGUGAUUCCCCUCAGAUCCUGGGAGAGAUGUUCUAAUAUCUCUUAGGGACCCAGACCCCUAAAUUAUCCCUCUCCCUCAUUUUGGUGUUAAGGUGGAGAGGGCAUGUGUCCCCGCUCCCUAAUCUAGGUGUCCAUAGAUAAGGGAUAAGAGGUGGUUGUAGUUGCCCCAUGGUGCCUCCAUCAGGCUCUCCCUACUUAUCCCAUUGCAAGGGUAGGGGACUUGGGGCUGGGACUCCAUUCACCAAAGCUGAUAAUGGCUUUUCAUUAACCCUUCAGAUCUCUGAAGAAUAUGGGCCUAAAUGAAUGUGUGUCAGAGGAGGCUUGCUGGUGGGUUAGUGGUCCUCAGGAUGGGGUAGAAACAUCUGGUGUGUGAAAUGGAAGUUGGAAUGGGAAGUGGUGGGCAAUGAACAAGUACGAGGGAAGGAUUGGAGCUGGGGCAAUAGGAAGGGGCCUGGGGCCAUUGGCUGCACUAACUUUGGUAGCUGUCUAGACAGUGUGUCUAGAGUGGGAGGGGGAGGGAGCUAAGCUGGGGCAGGGCUGCUUGGGGCUUGGCAUAGGGGUGGGAAGGGCUAUCUUGGGGCUCUGCCCACACUGUGUUAUGUGUGGAGGGUGCCCUCCUGUGUCCCACAACUUCUGCUGUAACAAUAAACUGUAGAGGAACUGA